rnacentral:tRNA from 1 species
GCCUCCGUGGCCGAGUGGGUGUCACACUGGGCUUGCACGCCAGGGGUCCCGGGUUCGAUUCCCGGCGGGGUCG